rnacentral:lncRNA from 1 species
AGGGUUUACAAUAUCAGACAGAUGGGAAAUGAGCAGCAAGGAAUAGAAAUAUGGGAUUUCCACAACUUCAAGCAAAGCAUGCCAGAUCAGAAAAAUGCAGGAAACACUGAUGAUGUACUGGCUAUGAUACUUUCAGCUCAUGUUCAAGGUUCCCCGCACAACUGAGAUGUUACCGCUGUGCAUUGUGUCCAGCUGUGACCUUUUUCACCCGCAACAGAGCUAUUGUACAGCAGCAAUUGACACUAGGAUUCCAGUGGACCAAAGGUAUUCUCCACAAGCAAGUAUUUUAGAUGCCUUUCUACUUUCUUACUUGGCAGGUGAACCAAGAACACUUGAAAGUAAGUUAGUUGGGAGACUAUGGGUCAGACUUUAAGCCUGCAAAUUUGUUUUAUUUCAUGGGAAUCUUUUAUCAAAUUGCAUACCAGCACAAACACUGACAACUAAAAUACUCUGUCCAGACAUGAGAAAAGUCAGAGAUAAAAUGUCUCCCUUAUUUCUCAAAAUUACUGCUUUCCUUCAAGUACAUGCCAGUUUUUUGGCUGUGGGAUUCUCAGACCUGAAGAUGUUAUAUAAGUCUUCACUGCCCUAACAGACCUUAAAGAUGAUAUCCAGCAAAUUACUCAGGAAAAUAAAGAGCAG